rnacentral:rRNA from 1 species
UACGGAGGGGGCUAGCGUUGUUCGGAAUUACUGGGCGUAAAGCGUGCGCAGGCGGCUUUGCAAGACAGAUGUGAAAUCCCCGGGCUUAACCUGGGAACUGCAUUUGUGACUGCAUGGCUGGAGUGCGGCAGAGGGGGAUGGAAUUCCGCGUGUAGCAGUGAAAUGCGUAGAUAUGCGGAGGAACACCGAUGGCGAAGGCAAUCCCCUGGGCCUGCACUGACGCUCAUGCACGAAAGCGUGGGGAGCAAACAGG